UUGGAGGGCAAGUCUGGUGCCAGCAGCCGCGGUAAUUCCAGCUCCAAUAGCGUAUAUUAAAGUUGUUGCAGUUAAAAAGCUCGUAGUUGAAUUUCGGGAUCAGUACGCUGGUCGUGCCUUUGGUAUGUAUUGGUGUCACUGAUUCCUCCCUUCUGAAGAACCGUUAUGCCAUUUAUUUGGUGUGGCGGGAAAUCAGGACUGUUACUUUGAAAAAAUUAGAGUGUUUAAAGCAGGCUAACGCCUGAAUACAUUAGCAUGGAAUAAUGAAAUAGGACGUUCGAUCCUAUUUUGUUGGUUUCUAGGAUUGACGUAAUGAUUAAUAGGGAUAGUUGGGGGCAUUAGUAUUCAAUUGUCAGAGGUGAAAUUCUUGGAUUUAUUGAAGACUAACUACUGCGAAAGCACUUGCCAAGGAUGUUUUCAUUAAUCAAGAACGAAAGUUAGGGGAUCGAAGACGAUCAGAUACCGUCGUAGUCUCAACCAUAAACUAUGCCGACUAGGGAUCGGAUGAUGUCAAUUUUUUAAUGACUCAUUCGGCGCCUUACGGGAAAC
rnacentral:rRNA from 1 species